GCCUUCGUGGUGGAAUGGUAGCAUACUCGGCACGUAAUCGAGAGAUCCAGGGUUCGAGUCCCAGCCAGGGUC
rnacentral:tRNA from 1 species